rnacentral:rRNA from 1 species
UACGGAGGUGGCGAGCGUUGUCCGAAGUUACUGGGCGUAAAGCGCGUGUAGGCGGUUCUGUAAGUCCGCUCUGAAAGCCCAGGGCUCAACCCUGGGAGGCGGGUGGAUACUACAGAACUGGAGUACGGAAGAGGAGAUUGGAAUUCCUGGUGUAGCGGUGAAAUGCGCAGAUAUCAGGAGGAACACCAACAGCGAAGGCAGAUCUCUGGGCCGAAACUGACGCUGAGGAGCGAAAGCGUGGGGAGCGAACAGG